UAGGGAAUCUUGGACAAUGGGGGCAACCCUGAUCCAGCCAUGCCGCGUGAGUGAUGAAGGCCUUCGGGUUGUAAAACUCUUUCGCGCACGACGAUAAUGACGGUAGUGCGAGAAGAAGCUCCGGCUAACUUCGUGCCAGCAGCCGCGGUAAUACGAAGGGGGCUAGCGUUGUUCGGAAUUACUGGGCGUAAAGCGCGCGCAGGCGGCCUUUCAAGUCGGUGGUGAAAUCCCAGAGCUCAACUCUGGAAUUGCCAUCGAAACUGUAAGGCUUGGGUACGGGAGAGGUGAGUGGAAUUCCGAGUGUAGAGGUGAAAUUCGUAGAUAUUCGGAAGAACACCAGUGGCGAAGGCGGCUCACUGGCCCGUUACCGACGCUCAGGCGCGACAGCGUGGGGAGCAAACAGG
rnacentral:rRNA from 1 species